rnacentral:rRNA from 1 species
GAUGAACGCUGGCGGCGUGCCUAAUACAUGCAAGUCGAGCGAACGGACGAGAAGCUUGCUUCUCUGAUGUUAGCGGCGGACGGGUGAGUAACACGUGGAUAACCUACCUAUAAGACUGGGAUAACUUCGGGAAACCGGAGCUAAUACCGGAUAAUAUUUUGAACCGCAUGGUUCAAAAGUGAAAGACGGUCUUGCUGUCACUUAUAGAUGGAUCCGCGCUGCAUUAGCUAGUUGGUAAGGUAACGGCUUACCAAGGCAACGAUGCGUAGCCGACCUGAGAGGGUGAUCGGCCACACUGGAACUGAGACACGGUCCAGACUCCUACGGGAGGCAGCAGUAGGGAAUCUUCCGCAAAGGGCGAAAGCCUGACGGAGCAACGCCGCGUGAGUGAUGAAGGUCUUCGGAUCGUAAAACUCUGUUAUUAGGGAAGAACACAUGUGUAAGUAACUGUGCACAUCUUGACGGUACCUAAUCAGAAAGCCACGGCUAACUACGUG